AAGCUACCAUUAAGGAGGCAUACUUCACUGGACUUUGGGUGAUAAUAGAUGGAAAAGAAAUGCAUCGAACCCUGUCUCCACAAGAGAUGGCUAUUACACCAUCCUGAUGCUGAUUGUACGUACUAUUAACUUUUCAACAUCCAGGACCUUGGAACAAUUCUACAGAUUAAACUUGACCAUUAUGUGAUGCAUGGAGACUGUUUGAGGUGAUUAAAUCACACAUUUUUUCUAA